rnacentral:rRNA from 1 species
AUGUUCGGAGACGACGCAGUCCGCGGCGGCGCGGAAACGGCGGUCGAUCCAUCCGGUGGACACGCAGCUAACACGGAUCAGCCAACAGCGCGGCCUGAUGCUUCGGGUGCGACGACGGAGGAGGAAGCCGUGGGCGUCGCGGACUGGGACUACGUGUACGAUCCGUCGUCGGGGUACUACCACAGCGGCAGCACGGGGCACUACUACGACGCCGCGUCCGGAUGCUACUGGUCCGCGUCCACGGGCACAUGGUUCUCCUACGACGUCGACGGCGAGGCGAGCACUACUCCGGCACGCACGUCGGAAUGUAGGGGCGCAGGCUGCAAAUGUUUGGCUGAUCGUGUAGUAUUUUGA